AAUUCUGCGCGAUUCACCGCUCCCUCAUCUGAUCAAACAAAACCUCCCGUCCACGCGUCUGGUCGAAUUAACCUCAAGUAACAUCUUAACCCUAAUUUCCAUGUGGUUCAUCUUCCCAACGCGAUCAAAAAUGUAUUCGUUAUCAUCAAAACCUUCGCAAUCGAUUUGAUAUGCUUCAAUCACAUCAAAAUCUUCCCAAUCGAUCAUAUAACUUUUGGUUUACACUCGAAUUCAUUAUCUUUCGAUUUGUAUAUUUAGGUUAUGAAUGUCAAUUUUAUCAUUAUCUUAUGUAGAAGACAUGUUCAUCUAUCUCAAACAUGUAAUUUGGGGAUUUGAAGAAGGAGAAGCAAGUGAACACAUCUGACUUCGAUUGAUCAGCAAUCUCUCUGAUCUCCAUAAGUACACAGAACUGCAGACUCGCAACAUUGAGCUUAAAAUGAGCUGCAAAUAUGGCUGUUGGAGUUGGAGCUGGUGUACCAUGGGUUAUGUGCAGGCAAACUGAUGCUCCAGUAAACAUUGUACAUUCCUACUCUGUUGAUUAUUCAAAUUACAUGUGCCAUUUUUGACCCAUUUACUUGUGAUUGAUGGGUCAAUUCUGUUAUUUUUCAUGUCUAAUGGGUCAAAUGGGUAUGUAAAAGUCAGAUUAUUAACCUUAUUUUCAUGCAGAUAAUGUGUUUCUUUACUAACCCAUGCAAGCCUAUUAUACUUGCACUUGCUUGGCCCGACCCGAAAAUAAAUCUUACAACGUUGGAUUUACAUGCUAUGGAUAACACUGUACUUGUCGGAGUGUCGUUCUUUACGGGAGCUUGCCAAUCUUGUAUGUCUCAAGUGACCACAAGGUCCACAACUACAGCACUAAGCAGGUGAUUAGUGUUACUCCGUGGAUAUACGACUACUUGCUCGCUAAUGUUAGGGAACCACUGGAAGGAUUUGUAUGAUUUGCAGAUUCUAAGAGAACUUAGAGAGGAGACUGCACCAAUGCGUGGGAGUCAAAUGCAGGUAUCCCCUGAUCAAACACAAUCACUUGCGAUGCUUGUCCAGAUUCUCAGGCAAUGUUAAUGAUCUGUAUGUACAUGGUAGACAAGUCCCAAGGUUGCAGCUGCUGGGUAUGACAGACAAGGGGUAGCCGAUCAUGCGGAAAAUCUCGCCACCAAAAUUCGAAAUAACUUAACCAAUUCUAUGAAAUCUCUUGGUGUUGACAUCUUGACUGGUGUUGGCACUGUUGUGGGUCCACAAAAGGUUAAAUAUGGAAAGGUUGGGGGCACUGAGACAGUCAUUACAGCAAAAGACAUAAUUAUAGCUACUGGAUCAGUACCAUUUUGUUCCUAAGGGAGUUGAAGUUGAUGGAACUUAGCUUUCUGUUUGCAAUAGCAUCUGAAUCUUAGCUGGAAUAUAACUGAUCGAAAGGUUGAACGUGAUUAUCCAAGAUAUAGUGAAAGAAAAAGAAGAAGAAAAAGAAAGGUUGAACGAAAUUAUUGCGGGAUUGGUGGUGGAAAAAGGGAAAGAUAACGUGGAGAAAGAGGCUAUGAAUCAAAGAAUGGCAAACAUUGAAGUGAUGAUAAAAGCUAGGUUUCAAAACGUAUAAUGUAGGUUAUAAAUAAUUUGUUUUAACAUGUAUUUUGUUAUAAUAACUUUGGUAUUUGAUGUUUUAAGUGGAAUGUUUUAUAUAAUUGUGAAAAUUUGAUGA